rnacentral:lncRNA from 1 species
CAUGAACACUGAAGGUGAAUGAGGCCAGAUCCUGUCUCCUCAUCCAUUCACCGGGAUGACAUAUCUAUCUCUCUCUCUCUCUCUCUCUCUCCCCCUGUGUGUUAGGACCUUCCUCAAUGGGAAAAUAAACAGAUCUGUCAGAUGACUCUUCUUAAGAGUGUGCGGUGUCAGUCAGGAGCCUGACAGAUACAGGAAGGCAGAAAUCAAGGGCACCCCUGGCACAGAACACAGAGUGAAAGCCUGCAUCACCCACACAUUUAGACAACACAGGGAAUUCCACCUGCCCUCCAGUGAGAUGUUAGCAGUGAACUGCCUGAGGACAACCAUCAUCCAAUACAAGGUCUCAGCAGAAAACCAGGCAUCUGCUCCGAGAGACUUAGCUCUUGAGAAGAUGGCAGCUCAGCAAGUCACAUCAUGUGGGCACUGCCAUGCAUGGCACACAGGACACUUAGGACAUCAAACAACAGAAGGAGACCCGGGAUCUUCAAGUGGCAGCUGACUGGGGAGCUGGUGCAGUACACAGGAGAUGACUGGUUACUUUUAACAUCCCAUUAAGCCUAAUGAAUGCCCUGAUCCGACGCUCGGUCAACUUCUACAAAAGGCCAGGCAUUACAUCUUAGGUUCUGCAGGAUACACAAGUCUGUCAGUAGAGAGCGAAGUCUGCCACCAGGACACUAAC